rnacentral:misc_RNA from 1 species
GAUGAAGAACGCAGCGAAAUGCGAUAAGUAGUGUGAAUUGCAGAAUUCAGUGAAUCAUCGAAUCUUUGAACGCACAUUGCGCCCUUUGGUAUUCCUUAGGGCAUGCCUGUUCGAGCGUCAUUUACACCUUCAAGCUCUGCUUGGUGUUGGGCGUCUGUCCUGCCCCUCGGGGCGUGGACUCGCCUUAAAUCUAUUGGCGGCCGGUACCGUGGCUUUGAGCGCAGCACAUCAGCGACCUCAUCGCCGGAGCGUAUCGACUCCCAGAAGCCCAUUUUCUAUGUUUUGACCUCGGAUCAGGUAGGGAUACCCGCUGGACUUAAGCAUAUCAAUAAGCGGAGGA